rnacentral:rRNA from 1 species
UACGUAGGGACCAAGCGUUGUUCGGAUUUACUGGGCGUAAAGGGCGCGUAGGCGGCGUGUUAAGUCACUUGUGAAAUCUCUAAGCUUAACUUAGAACGGUCAAGUGAUACUGAUGUGCUAGAGUGCAGAAGGGGCAACCGGAAUUCUUGGUGUAGCGGUGAAAUGCGUAGAUAUCAAGAGGAACACCUGAGGUGAAGACGGGUUGCUGGGCCGACACUGACGCUGAUGCGCGAAAGCCAGGGGAGCAAACGGG